rnacentral:rRNA from 1 species
UACUGAGUUGUAGACUUCGGUCUGCUACCUCUUACCCAUGUCUUUUGAGUACCUUCGUUUCCUCGGCGGGUCCGCCCGCCGAUUGGACAACAUUCAAACCCUUUGCAGUUGCAAUCAGCGUCUGAAAAAACAUAAUAGUUACAACUUUCAACAACGGAUCUCUUGGUUCUGGCAUCGAUGAAGAACGCAGCGAAAUGCGAUAAGUAGUGUGAAUUGCAGAAUUCAGUGAAUCAUCGAAUCUUUGAACGCACAUUGCGCCCCUUGGUAUUCCAUGGGGCAUGCCUGUUCGAGCGUCAUUUGUACCUUCAAGCUCUGCUUGGUGUUGGGUGUUUUGUCUCGCCUCUGCGUGUAGACUCGCCUUAAAACAAUUGGCAGCCGGCGUAUUGAUUUCGGAGCGCAGUACAUCUCGCGCUUUGCACUCAUAACGGCGACGUCCAAAAGUACAUUUUUACACUCUUGACCUCGGAUCAGGUAGGGAUACCCGCUGAACUUAAGCAUAUCAAAAGC